GCAGAUAUAGUUUCAUGAUUGGAUAAACUUAUCGAUGCCGGAUAGAAACUUUCCACAUGUACUCUUUUUGAGGGGACCUAACAUGCCCAAAACACUGCUAAACGAUUCCUUACACAAUAUAUAGCAAAGAAAAAGGCAUUACAAGUUCAGUUGUGUCAGGCCAUGUAAAUAGGCAUAUUUUGUUUGCAGCAAUUAACAAAUCUUCACCAUUGAUAAUUAAUCCUUUUAUAGUUUGACUAGGUUUGAUAGAAAUGCAUUCGUAGUAAAUAUGCAGUUUCAUAGUGGAUUUCGUGACUAGGCUUAUUCAAAUGUAUUCAUCAUCAUAAAAAUGCAGUUUCACGACGUUCUCUUCUUUUCUUGCACGACUGAAGCGGAACGAACCAAACCCGGGCAAAGUUCUGUUGCCCACUCCACAUAAAAGAAAGUCAUGGCCCAGCCAACCCACGGGUUGUUUGAGGCACUUGUCUAGAAUACACGCAUACGAGGCAGACAUGCUAGAAAAACUGCUUAAAACCGGCCCAGAUUUAGGUAAAAAGUAGCAACACUUGGCAAAUCUCCAGAUUCACCCAUCUAGGUCAGAAUCCACCGAUUAAGGCAAGAAUUAGGUAGCUUCCCUGGGUUUCGGGCCAGUUUUUAGGCGCAUGUAGUUUGGUGUCUCCUACCUUGCAAACAAGGGAAACUCUUUGCUCACGGUGUGAGUGUGCCUUCCUAAGUAAUAGUAGGUUGCGCCAUGUCCUCUAUGCAUCCUAUUUUAUAUCCAGUUGAUG
rnacentral:lncRNA from 1 species